rnacentral:rRNA from 1 species
GAUGAACGCUGGCGGCGUGCCUAAUACAUGCAAGUCGAGCGCACGGACUAGAAACUUGUUUCUCUGAUAUUAGCAGCGGACGGGUGAGUAACACGUGGAUAACCUACCUAUGAGCCUGGGAUAACUUCUGGAAACCUGAGCUAAUACCGUAUAAUAUUUUGAAACGCAUGGUUCAAGAUUGAAAGACGAUAUUGCUGUCACUUAUGGAUGGAUCCGCGCGGCUUUAGCUAUUUGGUAAGUAAACGGUUUACCAAGGCAACGAUUCAUAGCCAACCUGAGAGGGUAUCCGGACAAACUGGAAAUAGAACAAGGUCCAGAUUCCUACGGCAGGAAGGAGUAGGGAAUAUUGUGCAAUGGGGAAAAGCCGACCGGGCCAACCCCGCGUGGGUGACGAAGGUCUUGUGAUCUUAAAAUUCUGUUAUUAAGGACGCACAUAUUUGUAAGCAACUGUGCACAUCUUGACGGUACCUAAUCAGAAAGCCAAGGCUAACUACGUG